UACGAAGGGGGCUAGCGUUGUUCGGAAUUACUGGGCGUAAAGGGCUCGUAGGCGGCCAACUAAGUCAGACGUGAAAUCCCUCGGCUUAACCGGGGAACUGCAUCUGAUACUGGAUGGCUUGAGUUCGGGAGAGGGAUGCGGAAUUCCAGGUGUAGCGGUGAAAUGCGUAGAUAUCUGGAGGAAUACCGGUGGCGAAGGCGGCAUCCUGGACCGGCAUUGACGCUGAGGAGCGAAAGCUAGGGGAGCAAACGGG
rnacentral:rRNA from 1 species